rnacentral:rRNA from 1 species
UGUAGCAAGGUUAACCGAAUAGGGGAGCCGGAGGGAAACCGAGUCUUAACCGGGCGUUAAGUUGCAGGGUAUAGACCCGAAACCCGGUGAUCUAGCCAUGGGCAGGUUGAAGGUUGGGUAACACUAACUGGAGGACCGAACCGACUAAUGUUGAAAAAUUAGCGGAUGACCUGUGGCUGGGGGUGAAAGGCCAAUCAAACCGGGAGAUAGCUGGUUCUCCCCGAAAGCUAUUUAGGUAGCGCCUCGUGAAUUCAUCUCCGGGGGUAGAGCACUGUUUCGGCUAGGGGGCCAUCCCGGCUUACCAACCCGAUGCAAACUGCGAAUACCGGAGAAUGUUAUCACGGGAGACACACGGCGGGUGCUAACGUCCGUCGUGAAGAGGGAAACAACCCAGACCGCCAGCUAAGGUCCCAAAGUCAUGGUUAAGUGGGAAACGAUGUGGGAAGGCCCAGACAGCCAGGAUGUUGGCUUAGAAGCAGCCAUCAUUUAAAGAAAGCGUAAUAGCUCACUGGUCGAGUCGGCCUGCGCGGAAGAUGUAACGGGGCUAAACCAUGCACCGAAGCUGCGGCAGCGACGCUGAUGCGUUGUUGGGUAGGGGAGCGUUCUGUAAGCCUGCGAAGGUGGCCUGUGAGGGUUGCUGGAGGUAUCAGAAGUGCGAAUGCUGACAUAAGUAACGAUAAAGCGGGUGAAAAGCCCGCUCGCCGGAAGACCAAGGGUUCCUGUCCAACGUUAAUCGGGGCAGGGUGAGUCGACCCCUAAGGCGAGGCCGAAAGGCGUAGUCGAUGGGAAACGGGUUAAUAUUCCCGUACUUGGUGUUACUGCGAAGGGGGGACGGAGAAGGCUAUGUUGGCCGGGCGACGGUUGUCCCGGUUUAAGCGUGUAGGUGUGUGUUCCAGGUAAAUCCGGUUCACUUUAACACUGAGGCGUGAUGACGAGGCACUACGGUGCUGAAGCAACAAAUGCCCUGCUUCCAGGAAAAGCCUCUAAGCAUCAGGUAACAUCAAAUCGUACCCCAAACCGACACAGGUGGUCAGGUAGAGAAUACCAAGGCGCUUGAGAGAACUCGGGUGAAGGAACUAGGCAAAAUGGUGCCGUAACUUCGGGAGAAGGCACGCUGACACGUAGGUGAAGUGAUUUACUCAUGGAGCUGAAGUCAGUCGAAGAUACCAGCUGGCUGCAACUGUUUAUUAAAAACACAGCACUGUGCAAACACGAAAGUGGACGUAUACGGUGUGACGCCUGCCCGGUGCCGGAAGGUUAAUUGAUGGGGUCAGCGCAAGCGAAGCUCCUGAUCGAAGCCCCGGUAAACGGCGGCCGUAACUAUAACGGUCCUAAGGUAGCGAAAUUCCUUGUCGGGUAAGUUCCGACCUGCACGAAUGGCGUAAUGAUGGCCAGGCUGUCUCCACCCGAGACUCAGUGAAAUUGAACUCGCUGUGAAGAUGCAGUGUACCCGCGGCAAGACGGAAAGACCCCGUGAACCUUUACUAUAGCUUGACACUGAACAUUGAGCCUUGAUGUGUAGGAUAGGUGGGAGGCUUUGAAGUGUGGACGCCAGUCUGCAUGGAGCCGACCUUGAAAUACCACCCUUUAAUGUUUGAUGUUCUAACGUGGACCCGUGAUCCGGGUUGCGGACAGUGUCUGGUGGGUAGUUUGACUGGGGCGGUCUCCUCCUAAAGAGUAACGGAGGAGCACGAAGGUUGGCUAAUCCUGGUCGGACAUCAGGAGGUUAGUGCAAUGGCAUAAGCCAGCUUGACUGCGAGCGUGACGGCGCGAGCAGGUGCGAAAGCAGGUCAUAGUGAUCCGGUGGUUCUGAAUGGAAGGGCCAUCGCUCAACGGAUAAAAGGUACUCCGGGGAUAACAGGCUGAUACCGCCCAAGAGUUCAUAUCGACGGCGGUGUUUGGCACCUCGAUGUCGGCUCAUCACAUCCUGGGGCUGAAGUAGGUCCCAAGGGUAUGGCUGUUCGCCAUUUAAAGUGGUACGCGAGCUGGGUUUAGAACGUCGUGAGACAGUUCGGUCCCUAUCUGCCGUGGGCGCUGGAGAACUGAGGGGGGCUGCUCCUAGUACGAGAGGACCGGAGUGGACGCAUCACUGGUGUUCGGGUUGUCAUGCCAAUGGCACUGCCCGGUAGCUAAAUGCGGAAGAGAUAAGUGCUGAAAGCAUCUAAGCACGAAACUUGCCCCGA